UUGCUUACCUGGCAGGAGAGAUACCAUGAUCACUAAGGGGGUUCUCCUAAGGCGAGGCUCAUCCAUUGCACUCCGUGUGUGUGACGUCUGCGAUUUGCCUACAUGUGGGAUACUCAAAUACAUAGUUUGUGGUAGUGGUGGACUGCGUUUGCACUCUUUCCUA